rnacentral:rRNA from 1 species
UACGUAGGGUGCAAGCGUUAAUCGGAAUUACUGGGCGUAAAGCGUGCGCAGGCGGUUUUGUAAGUCUGACGUGAAAUCCCCGGGCUCAACCUGGGAAUUGCGUUGGAGACUGCAAGGCUAGAAUCUGGCAGAGGGGGGUAGAAUUCCACGUGUAGCAGUAAAAUGCGUAGAGAUGUGGAGGAACACCGAUGGCGAAGGCAGCCCCCUGGGUCAAGAUUGACGCUCAUGCACGAAAGCGUGGGGAGCAAACAGG